rnacentral:rRNA from 1 species
CGCAGGGCGGCAGGCUUACACAUGCAGUCGAGCGCCCCGCAAGGGGAGCGGCAGACGGGUGAGUAACGCGUGGGAACGUACCUUUUGCUACGGAAUAACUCAGGGAAACUUGUGCUAAUACCGUAUGUGCCCUUCGGGGGAAAGAUUUAUCGGCAAAGGAUCGGCCCGCGUUGGAUUAGCUAGUUGGUGAGGUAAAGGCUCACCAAGGCGACGAUCCAUAGCUGGUCUGAGAGGAUGAUCAGCCACACUGGGACUGAGACACGGCCCAGACUCCUACGGGAGGCAGCAGUGGGGAAUAUUGGACAAUGGGCGCAAGCCUGAUCCAGCCAUGCCGCGUGAGUGAUGAAGGCCCUAGGGUUGUAAAGCUCUUUCACCGGUGAAGAUAAUGACGGUAACCGGAGAAGAAGCCCCGGCUAACUUCGUGCCAGCAGCCGCGGUAAU